UGUGUGCUGGGAUAGAAAUAAUAAAACCCAAAAACGAAACAGUGAGGUCGAGGAAGAGAUUCGAGUUAAACGUUUAUUAUUCACCAGCGGAUUUCUCAGGGGCCCAUUAUCCCGUGCCCCUCCCCUCCCCCCUUCCAAGCUGAUGCCCAUGUCUUUUUAUGGACUAGCUGUGGGCGUACGUGUGAUCCCACCCACUACUCCCCACCCCCACUCCUUCCGCACCCCUCGCAAAACAAAAACAAACAAAUCGCCGAUCGCUGGCAAUUCAAUUCACUUUUGGAUAGACCAAGGCAGCAAACAUUGAGUCAACGUCAACGCGGCGUAUGCGUAAUAUCAAGGGGCAACGCUCCGCUCCGUUCCCGAAGGAUCGCCAGGAAUGCGCCUGGCUAAUUGGAACGAGCAUGAAGCAUUAUGUAUAGCCCCGAUUUCCGGAACCCAGCCAGCAUGAUUAUAUUAGGCGCCUACCCCUCAUAAUCAUUAUAUUCACUGCACAAUGACACACAUACCGGACCGAUCCAAAGAAAAGGACAGGCAUCCGAGGGGUGGCCAGGGGCAGAAGAGCUAUGAACACAAUGUAAAGCAAGCCAGCACGGUGCUCUAUAUAUAUAAUGCCGAUUUCGUGUAUACAGACGCACACAGUGAUAUUUUUAGUAUAAACAACAGAUCUUCGCCGCAUAUAUAAAAAGUACGUAUACCACAUACAUACUCGUCUUUAAAUCCGAAUACAUAUAGAAUAUAAGCAUAUAGAAUAUAAAGAGAUCUUGGCUAUGACUGGGAAUGAAUGAGUGAACGGGCCAACUUACAAUACACAGACCUAAAAAGAAGUCCUCAACCUCAAUAUCCCUUAAACUUUUCAUUAAUAUAAAAUAUUAUGAUCAGUAAUAAUAUUAUAAUUCCUAAUACUAAGAGUCUAUUAACUAUCCAUUAAUAGGGAAACUUUUCUCCAAGUGUACGCAUUAAAAGAAAUUUACAAAUAACACAAAAGUAGAGCAAUACCAGCAAGGAAAUCUCUGGUGAGUAGAACUCUCGCCACAAACACAAAGGCCACAUAAGAAUCCAACAUUCUCCCGAUCUCUCCGAUUGAGCGACAGAACGUGCGAUUCAGGUGGUGCCCAUCCAUCCCGUCCAACCCAUCCAUGUCUAUUUGAGUUCUUCUCGCACAACCCCAACUACAAUCUCCCCGAGAGAGAUUUAUUUUGGCCCAUUGAAAAGCGAACGUACGAGUAACUACAUAUACGAGGUGUGUUCAAAAAUUUCAAUGGAAUCCCCUCUUUCGUUUGGUUGUGAGAGACGUAAAGGUUACAGGUUGUUUUGCGUGCUCGGCGAUCAUCGCUAUUUUUGACCAAAAGAACCGUCACAUGAGCAUCGCUCAAGAGCUGUUGAAUGACAUCAACGACGACCCAGAUUUACUCAAAAGGGUCAUAACUGGUGACGAAUCAUGGGUAUAUGGUUAUGAUAUCGAAACCAAAGCCCAAUCGUCCCAAUGGAAGAGCAAC